rnacentral:rRNA from 1 species
GAUGAACGCUGGCGGCGUGCCUAAUACAUGCAAGUCGAGCGAACAGACGAGGAGCUUGCUCCUCUGACGUUAGCGGCGGACGGGUGAGUAACACGUGGAUAACCUACCUAUAAGACUGGGAUAACUUCGGGAAACCGGAGCUAAUACCGGAUAAUAUAUUGAACCGCAUGGUUCAAUAGUGAAAGACGGUUUUGCUGUCACUUAUAGAUGGAUCCGCGCCGCAUUAGCUAGUUGGUAAGGUAACGGCUUACCAAGGCAACGAUGCGUAGCCGACCUGAGAGGGUGAUCGGCCACACUGGAACUGAGACACGGUCCAGACUCCUACGGGAGGCAGCAGUAGGGAAUCUUCCGCAAUGGGCGAAAGCCUGACGGGGCAACGCCGCGAGAGUGAUGAAGGUCUUCGGAUCGUAAAACUCUGUUAUUAGGGAAGAACAAAUGUGUAAGUAACUAUGCACGUCUUGACGGUACCUAAUCAGAAAGCCACGGCUAACUACGUG